rnacentral:rRNA from 1 species
GACGAACGCUGGCGGCGUGCUUAACACAUGCAAGUCGAACGGAAAGGCCCUGCUUUUGUGGGGUGCUCGAGUGGCGAACGGGUGAGUAACACGUGAGUAACCUGCCCUUGACUUUGGGAUAACUUCAGGAAACUGGGGCUAAUACCGGAUAGGAGCUCCUGCUGCAUGGUGGGGGUUGGAAAGUUUCGGCGGUUGGGGAUGGACUCGCGGCUUAUCAGCUUGUUGGUGGGGUAGUGGCUUACCAAGGCUUUGACGGGUAGCCGGCCUGAGAGGGUGACCGGCCACAUUGGGACUGAGAUACGGCCCAGACUCCUACGGGAGGCAGCAGUGGGGAAUAUUGCACAAUGGGCGGAAGCCUGAUGCAGCAACGCCGCGUGCGGGAUGACGGCCUUCGGGUUGUAAACCGCUUUCGCCUGUGACGAAGCGUGAGUGACGGUAAUGGGUAAAGAAGCACCGGCUAACUACGUGCCAGCAGCCGCGGUGAUACGUAGGGUGCGAGCGUUGUCCGGAUUUAUUGGGCGUAAAGGGCUCGUAGGUGGUUGAUCGCGUCGGAAGUGUAAUCUUGGGGCUUAACCCUGAGCGUGCUUUCGAUACGGGUUGACUUGAGGAAGGUAGGGGAGAAUGGAAUUCCUGGUGGAGCGGUGGAAUGCGCAGAUAUCAGGAGGAACACCAGUGGCGAAGGCGGUUCUCUGGGCCUUUCCUGACGCUGAGGAGCGAAAGCGUGGGGAGCGAACAGGCUUAGAUACCCUGGUAGUCCACGCUGUAAACGGUGGGUACUAGGUGUGGGGUCCAUUCCACGGGUUCCGUGCCGUAGCUAACGCUUUAAGUACCCCGCCUGGGGAGUACGGCCGCAAGGCUAAAACUCAAAGGAAUUGACGGGGCCCCGCACAAGCGGCGGAGCAUGCGGAUUAAUUCGAUGCAACGCGUAGAACCUUACCUGGGUUUGACAUGGAUCGGGAGUGCUCAGAGAUGGGUGUGCCUCUUUUGGGGUCGGUUCACAGGUGGUGCAUGGCUGUCGUCAGCUCGUGUCGUGAGAUGUUGGGUUAAGUCCCGCAACGAGCGCAACCCUUGUUCACUGUUGCCAGCACGUUAUGGUGGGGACUCAGUGGAGACCGCCGGGGUCAACUCGGAGGAGGGUGGGGAUGACGUCAAGUCAUCAUGCCCCUUAUGUCCAGGGCUUCACGCAUGCUACAAUGGCUGGUACAGAGAGUGGCGAGCCUGUGAGGGUGAGCGAGUCUCGGAAAGCCGGUCUCAGUUCGGAUUGGGGUCUGCAACUCGACCUCAUGAAGUCGGAGUCGCUAGUAAUCGCAGAUCAGCAACGCUGCGGUGAAUACGUUCCCGGG